rnacentral:rRNA from 1 species
AUGGCUGAUAAGCUGGCAACAAAGAUGAGGAACCGAACUAGCAGCGGGAAUCCAUACAUGGCCCUUCAUCUGAGAUAUGAGAAAGGAAUGGUGGGCUUGUCCUUUUGUGAUUUUGCUGGAACACGUGAUGAGAAAGUGAUGAUGGCAGCUUAUAGACAGAAAGAAUGGCCACGGCGCUUUAAGAAUGGAUCUCACCUGUGGCCAUUAGCACUGCAAAAGAGAAAAGAACGUGUUGCCCCCUUGAGCCUGGUGAGAUAG